CUACGGGCCGCAGCAGUUAGGAAUAAUCUGCAAUGCGCGAAAGCGUGACAGUUUGAGCCAGAGUGCUUCUCAAAGAGAAGCUUUUGCCGAAUGUAAAAAGUUUGGAGAAUAAGGACUGGGCAAGACUAGUGCCAGCCGCCGCGGUAAUACUAGCGGUCCAAGUCGCAGCCAUUUUUAUUGGGUCUAAAACAUCCGUAGCUUGUCGAGUAAGUUUCCUAUGAAAUUUUAAGUCUUAAACUUAGAGCGUGUGGGAAGUACUGUUCGGCUAGAGACUGGAAGACGCAGAAAGUACGUUUAAAGUAACGGUAAAAUGUGUUGAUCUUAAGCGGACUAACAAUAGCGAAGGCAUUCUGCGAGGACAGUUCUGACAGUAAGGGAUGAAGGCUAGGGGCGCAAAACGGAUUAGAUACCCCCGUAGUC
rnacentral:rRNA from 1 species